rnacentral:rRNA from 1 species
AUGUUGGUCUCUCAGACUGAAGACACAAGACACAACCUGACUCGAGAUGAAAAAACAGUGAAGACAUGUGUGGGAGAGCACCGUGCUCCAACAGCCCCGCAAAAACACACGGAUGCAAGCACAUUGAAUGACUACCAGCCAAUAAGCCUUAUCCACCUGGUGGCGAAGAUCUUCACCAAAGUACUCUCCCUUUGACUUGCCCCCAAGCUAGAUGGCCUUGUCAGCCGGAGCCAAAAUGCGUUCAUCGCCAGUCGAAGCCUACAUGACAACCUCAUUCUAGUCAAGUAA